GUUGGAGGACUAGGGAAAGCGGUGCUCAUGAAGGGGACAGCAACAACGAUGGCCAUGGGGAAAGGGAGAGAGGCCAGUUGGAGACAACGACGACGACGGUGGCCGAAUCGGAGCACAUCACCAUCUCCUUCCUCCUGCAUCUUCCCACGAUUAUUCCACAUGCCUGGAAGCUCCACCAUCGGCUGAUCUUCAAGCUCUGUGCGCUGCAGUCCCCUCAUCUGCUCGUCUACGUCUGCUCGAGUUUCUCCAAUCUUGAUUUCUGAUUUGAGCAUGAAGUGUGGAGAUGGAUCCUGGAAGAUUCAUUGGGUGUCGUCAAUAAUAUCAUCCAGCCAUGUAGUGCAUUGGAAGCUUUGAAGCUUGUCUCUGCCUGCAGCAGAAGUGUGUCAAAUUAUCUCACGUUUGCCAGAAAAACAAUUUGAUCACUUCUUGUAAGCCAUAUGGUCAAAUUUGUUUCCCAACUUUAGCCACUGAAACUAUCUUUGCUGUUGGAGACAAGAUCCAUAUCUGAUUGUGAGCGAAAUAUCAGUUCGUGCUGCUCCUGUAAAGUAUCAACUCAUCUGUACAUCCUCCUUGCUCAGGCAUAUGUUAAUUUCUCUGAACAUUGGUUGGACAUUGCCCAUGUAACACUCCAACUCCUAUCACCUUAGCCCCAGAUGAUACCGAUGCGUCACCCAGUGUGUCGAGCAGUUGGCCAUGGUUGGGAGCCAGGGAGCAGCACGACAUGAGGGCACGACACUCAGGCAAGAACUUACUUUGCAGAGUUAGGUAAAUCUUAGAGCAAGCAGCUCGGAUUACUGAUGGCGUGGAUGGCCGCGAGGUACUUGAUCAACGGAUUAGAUGUGGAGUGGAGUCAAUGAAGGGAUGUGUAGCAGAUCAAGUGUGAAGGUUAGGGAAAUAGGUUAAGGGAAAGAUAUUGGACCGUCAACGCAAAUCGUGAUGUGGAUGGACGGUAUCAGCCAAGAAAUUGUUUACGAAGGCAAACAUUUGUAAUAGUUUCUGGUUCCCGUGGUAUCAGUAAAGGGGCACAAA